UGUGCUGGCAGGAAUCUGCCUGCCACUGCUGUUGUGCUCCAAAGGCAGUUGGGAAAGUACAACCUCUUAAACCAGUCUAAAGCACAGCUGUGAUAAUUACACCAUCUACUAUGAUUUGCCACAAAAUAGGACUCAGGGGAGAGGCAGACCUCAGAAGUCUGGGUUUUCUACAAGGUGAUGUUUUCUGCAGCCAUGUCCCUGUUUCCCAUAGCUCCUGCUUUUACAGCAGCCCAACUCAAUUACCUUCAUCGGCCUUUUCUUUGCUUUCUGAUUUUAUUGGGUUUUUUAGGGCUAAUUAACAGAAGAGUGGAUGAAUCCCAGAUUUCUUGUGUGGGUUUUUGGGGUUUUUUUUUGUUUUGUUUUGUUUUUGGGGUUUUUGGUUGGUUUUUUGGUGGUGGUGGUACUACUUUUCAUUUUGCUGAGUUUUCCUUUUGCUUUAAAGCAUGCAAGAAAAUAAUUUUUCCUACCAGUGGCAAUAAUGAGGACGAAGAAAAUUCAGCAAGGAGAAUAACAAUUGAGGAGAGGAACUUCAGGCAAUGUGUCUGUAAAGCACCAAGCAGCUUCCACUCUUCCUGACCCCACCAAUUUCCUCUGCACAAACUAUCCAUAUGGAUUUGACAUGUAGCCACUGAGAGGCCCUGAGGCCUCAUAUAUCUCAUUCCUCUUGUCCUGUGGAUCGCCUGUGCCCCUGAAGGGCAGCCUGAAAACCCCAGGAGCAGAUAUCCUCAUGGGACCCCUUUUGGGUCGCUUCCUUGUGUGUGCCCAGCUGACCAGUGCCAGGACAACUUGCCUCUGUGGGUGAGGCACACAUGGAUAUUGGGUUCUGAGCAAAGCCCUGCCUGUCUUGUGCUGCUGUCUCCUGCUGCCUCCACUACCUGUGAGAAGACAUAAUCAAGAUGUCAGAUGUACAGCUAAGUGUCUCCUGCUGUCUGUAAGUGCUGUCUGUCCUGGAUUUUAGAUUGCUCUCCAUCAGAGAAAGAUCACAGAAACAAGAAAUGACAUUUGUUUCCUACAGUCUUUUGUUUGAAAGUAGAAGUUGUUCUUAGCUAUAUUAUAUCAUUUACCUGUAUCACACCAUCUCUCUAUGGUCUCACUGGAAAAGUCUCCAUUUGGUUUGCAGUAGUUCCUCUUUCCUUCCCUGCUGGAUUGACAGGCUCAGCUGUACCCUCGAAAUUGGUGUAAAUUCCCUUGACUUUGCACAGCAGCUAGUGGCACCAUGGGUUAUUCAGUCAACAUUUCCCCAACAACCUUAUUGCCACAGCAUGAAGCAGAAGGGGAAAGCCCUAUCUUUGUUAGAGAAUAAUUAGGAUUUAUUUUGUCAGAAAACUGAGGAAGCAUGAAUUGAAGGUGAAGAAAUAAAAACAUAAUUUUUUUUCCUCAAUGCAGUGGGAAUUGGAUUUUGUAAACCCCCAUGCAGGUUGCUUCCUUGUUAACCGAAGUGUAAAUGUUCUUGCAUUCAAGGCCUCUCUCCCCUGACUGGAGCUCUUCUGCAUGGCUUGUCCUUCACAAGCUAAGUGACAAUAAUAAAUUGUCCUACUUAAGCAAGGGACCUAUUUCACCUCCUCACCACACUCAUUAAAAAAUUGCAAUGCUAAAUACACUUAAAGA